GAUUUCAACUAAAAAAAGUCAUCAACAACAAAGCUGUAUAACUCAUCAAUAUCUAUAACUUUUAUUUUGUCAUUUCUUCAUCCGACAAAGUAAUAGUAACAUUGUUUAUAAAGUUUACAUAUCUCUCUUAUAGUUUAUAAACUAUAUCAGAGAUAUGUACAUUUUGUGAAUGAUGUUACAAAUCACUUUGUUGGAUGAAAAAAUGACCCAAAUAAAAGUUAUAGAUCUUGAUGAGUUAUACCACUUUCACUUUGUUGUUGAUGACUUUUUCAGUUGAAAUC
rnacentral:pre_miRNA from 1 species